UCCAACCCUCAGAAGUCUUUAAUCAUAUUUGAGACAAAAAUCAUGUAAAACAAGUUCUUAAGACAUUUGUACAAAAUGAAGUCAUACUUAUCACAGUGCUUAACAAAAUAAAAAUAAAAAAUAAUGCAGUUGCAGUGAAUAGGAUAGGAGUGUUUUAUAUUGAAUGCAGUAUAAUGGAAGGAAAAAGGAAAAAACAACACAUCAUCACAACCAAAAUUAAAUACCAUUGUAAAAAAAACAAAGCUUCUAAGCUUAAUACAAAUAACACAACUAGUCUGUAGGAUGGAGAGCAUAAAAGGUAAUCAACAAUAUGAUAGUCAAUAAACUUGUUUUGUCGGGCUAGUUACGUUAUUGCAAUGUACAGACACAACAAUCAGUGAUCUAUGUUGUACACAUGUGACAUGAGUAAGCUAUCAGUGAUCUAUGUUGUACACAUGUGACAUGAGUAAGCUAUCAGUGAUCUAUGUUGUACACAU